rnacentral:rRNA from 1 species
AUAAUGGGUCAGCGACUUAUAUUCUGUAGCAAGGUUAACCGAAUAGGGGAGCCGAAGGGAAACCGAGUCUUAACUGGGCGUUAAGUUGCAGGGUAUAGACCCGAAACCCGGUGAUCUAGCCAUGGGCAGGUUGAAGGUUGGGUAACACUAACUGGAGGACCGAACCGACUAAUGUUGAAAAAUUAGCGGAUGACUUGUGGCUGGGGGUGAAAGGCCAAUCAAACCGGGAGAUAGCUGGUUCUCCCCGAAAGCUAUUUAGGUAGCGCCUCGUGAAUUCAUCUCCGGGGGUAGAGCACUGUUUCGGCAAGGGGGUCAUCCCGACUUACCAACCCGAUGCAAACUGCGAAUACCGGAGAAUGUUAUCACGGGAGACACAC